CGAGGCAGCAGAGAAGGAAGCGAAGCUCGCCUUCAGUGGGCUUCGCUCCCUACUCUGCUUCGCUCCAGUCUCAGGAAGCCCUAUUCUUGCAGGAAUAGGCCCAAGGACGCCCUAUUCUUGCAGAAAUCUUCCCGCAACAGGCCUCUAGCAUAUAUAUAUUUAAAA